UACAAUAUGGUCUAGUGGUUAUGACAUCGGGCAAGUGCUCUGAAGACCCAGGUUCGAUUCCUGGUACGGUUG
rnacentral:tRNA from 1 species